UACAGAGGUCCCCAAGCGUUGUUCGGAUUCACUGGGCGUAAAGGGUGCGUAGGUGGUUGGGUAAGUCUAAUGUGAAAUCUCCGAGCCUAACUCGGAAACUGCAUCGGAUACUAUCCGGCUAGAGGAUUGGAGGGGGACGUGGAUACUUGGUGUAGCAGUGAGAUGCGUAGAUAUCAAGUGGAACACCAGUGGCGAAGGCGAGU
rnacentral:rRNA from 1 species